rnacentral:rRNA from 1 species
UACGGAGGGUGCGAGCGUUGCUCGGAAUCACUGGGCGUAAAGCGUACGCAGGCUGUUUCGUAAGUCGGGUGUGAAAGCCCGGGGCUCAACCCCGGAAUUGCGCCCGAGACUGCGGAGCUUGAAUUCGGGAGAGGGAUGCAGAAUUCCAGGUGUAGCGGUGAAAUGCGUAGAUAUCUGGAGGAAUACCGGUGGCGAAGGCGGCAUCCUGGACCGACAUUGACGCUGAGGAGCGAAAGCUAGGGGAGCAAACGGG